AAAGCUUGCUUUUGAUGGGCGUCGACCGGCGCACGGGUGAGUAACGCGUAUCCAACCUGCCCAUCACUUGGGGAUAACCUUGCGAAAGUAAGACUAAUACCCAAUGAUAUCUCUAGAAGACAUCUGAAAGGGAUUAAAGAUUUAUCGGUGAUGGAUGGGGAUGCGUCUGAUUAGCUUGUUGGCGGGGUAACGGCCCACCAAGGCGACGAUCAGUAGGGGUUCUGAGAGGAAGGUCCCCCACAUUGGAACUGAGACACGGUCCAAACUCCUACGGGAGGCAGCAGUGAGGAAUAUUGGUCAAUGGACGAGAGUCUGAACCAGCCAAGUAGCGUGCAGGAUGACGGCCCUAUGGGUUGUAAACCGCUUUUAUAAGGGAAUAAAGUGAGUCUCGUGAGGCUUUUUGCAUGUACCUUAUGAAUAAGGAC
rnacentral:rRNA from 1 species